GAUGAACGCUAGCGGCAGGCCUAAUACAUGCAAGUCGAACGGGAUCCAGAUCAAAGCUUGCUUUGGUCUGGUGAGAGUGGCGCACGGGUGCGUAACGCGUGAGCAACCUACCCUUGUCAGGGGGAUAGCCCGGCGAAAGUCGGAUUAAUACCGCAUGACAUCAUUGAGAGGCAUCUUUCGAUGAUCAAAGAUUUAUCGGACAAGGAUGGGCUCGCGUGACAUUAGCUAGUUGGUAAGGUAACGGCUUACCAAGGCUGCGAUGUCUAGGGGCUCUGAGAGGAGAAUCCCCCACACUGGUACUGAGACACGGACCAGACUCCUACGGGGGGCAGCAGUAAGGAAUAUUGGUCAAUGGACGGAAGUCUGAACCAGCCAUGCCGCGUGCAGGAAGACGGCCCUAUGGGUUGUAAACUGCUUUUAUACGGGAACAAACGUCGGUACGUGUACCGGUCUGAGUGUACCGUAAGAAUAAGGAUCGGCUAACUCCGUG
rnacentral:rRNA from 1 species